rnacentral:rRNA from 2 species
CUUUAUCGGAGAGUUUGAUCCUGGCUCAGGACGAACGCUGGCGGCGUGCCUAAUACAUGCAAGUCGAGCGGACAGAUGGGAGCUUGCU